rnacentral:rRNA from 1 species
GAACGAACGCUGGCGGCAUGGAUUAGGCAUGCAAGUCGUACGCGAAAGGUUCCUUCGGGGGCUGAUUAGAGUGGCGAACUGGUGAGUACAAGGUGACUAACGUGGCCUACAAGUGGGGGAUAACCCCGGGAACCGGGCCUAUACCGGCAUGGUCUCCCUGGUCUGCGGACUGGUGAGUAAAAGCAGUAAUGCGCUUGAGGAUCAGGUCACCUCCCAUUAUGCUAGUUGGUGGGGGUAACGGCCCCACCAAGGCUGCGAUGGGUAGCUGGACUGAGAGGUUGGCCAGCCACACUGGGACUGAGA